AUGAAUAUCAAAAAGCAGUUAUAUAUUUCAAUAGUUUCCAGAGCAGCAACGGUUGCGUUACUUCUGCGCGUUCCUUCCUCCCAGCGUCAGGAAUUAAAAUGUCAGGCUACGAAGUCAUAUGCAGCCAGAAUUUUUUCCAGCUUUAUUCUGUCUAUUAAACUGGGAAAAUACAAAGGAAGUCUGGGAUCUGCAUUGUAGGCACUGAGCAGUUCAGCUGACAUGAAAUUGAUGCCAACCUUAAGAAACCUGAGCUGAAACACUGUCUACAUCCCUCAGGCCACCCAACUGCCUUCAGAAUCCACUACCUGGCUGAGGAGGUAACAUCACUCACCUAUCACAAGCAAUGGUGAUAAAGAUGAGUGUUGCUGCAGCACCUUGGGAAGCAUGAAUGUCCAGUUCCUCUCCAUUCCUUGUUUUCCUCCACUCCUUGCUUUACAGGUAUAACUUGCUUUUUUUUUGUAUUUCAGCAAAACCAGGAUGUAAUGUUGAUCCAUUGAUGAACCAUGACACACCUCCAAUUUACACAUGUGCACACACAUAAUAGGGCUACUUCAAAACACUCCAAGGCCACUUUAAACCCAUUUUUCCUCUUUAUACUCUUCUGACAUGCAAGGUGGCAUCAUUCCAUAAAAAAAGUAUUAAGCUAGUAACAAAAUACUAUUAGCUUUUGCCAGUCUUUGGAAUUGAUACUUGUCACUACAGCUGUUAAUGCUGCAUUAAGCAGCCGUACUUAAAAAACCCCCAAACAACCAACUCCCAUUAAAUACAUCACUCUUACCAGGUGAGUGGUUUUCCUCUUCCCAAGAGACAAAUGUAACCCAUUUUUUACUCCAGUCAGCUGUUUACCUCCCCUCUUCCUAGAGUGAAGGAGAGCCUCUGUAGGGUAGUAGCCUUUCUAGGGUUUGGACUAAGAUUUGGACUCCUUCAUGCAACUUUCACUUAGAAUCCAAACAUUUCUUCAAAACUCCAAAAGCUGUUAUUCCAUCAGUUCCUCAUAAGAUUGCCCACCCUCCCAUGUUCAAACAUCCCUGCUGUGCCCCUUGGCACUGAUUGAAGGCUGCUGCAGCUCAGUCCUUCCCUGCUGUGGGUCUCUUCUUCCUCAGACCUUUUGGAACCCCAUCAGGAACCUGGCUUCAGGCUCUCCUCAGGAGAUUGCAGCAAGCAAUCCAUCCAGAUUUCUCAGUGUGAUACGAGCACAGUCUGACAGCCAGGCUAUUGUGACCCCUUGAGUUCAGCCAGGAUCCUCACCCAGCAGCAGUGAAUUCCAGUCAGCACAAGCCCACUUUGGUACAAACCUUUAUUAGCUGACACCUCCUUGCCACAGCUAUCAUUGAAACAGCUGACAUUCAUAUUUUACAGGUACCAUAAAAAGUUACAAAGUGUAAACUAUGCUGCGUAGUCCACAAAGUAAAAAUACUCAGGAAUGACUUUCUGUCAACAGAAUUUGGCACAGAGGUGUUCACACACGAGGGAACAGGCAGGUAAUUCAUCCUGAGUGUGUCAGGGAGGCAGUGUUUGCACGGUUUAGAGGCAGAGCUUCUCCUGUUGAUGGAUGGCUGGCUUCCCUGGGAUUACCUGUGCCAUUAAAAGGCACAAAGAGAAACACCCCACGAAGCAGGCCCCAGGCAGUGUGGCAUCCCCACCAGGAAUCUGAGUGCUGCCCAGUUCUUCCAGUUCCAGCUGUGGGAGGGUGUGUCACCAUUCCUACCAGCUCCUUGCUCUUGCUUUGUCCAGCAUGAGCUGCAACUGGAGACUCUUGCUCCAACAAACAUGGGCAGCUUCCUCGUGCCUGUAGCAGCGCUGGGACUGGUGCCUGUGGUAGCCAAAAUGGGUCUGUGGCUGCCAGGGCUCUGGCCUUUAGGCUCAGGAUUGUUUUAUAGAUCCACACACAGGUCAAUACCUUAGAUGACACCAUGUCUACCACAUUUAGAGACAGAAGUUCUACUUUCAAGUAGUCCUGGGUGCACUAGACAAUAAAAAAAGGUACUUUGGAAGGACCA
rnacentral:lncRNA from 1 species